UACGUAGGGUGCAAGCGUUAAUCGGAAUACUGGGCGUAAAGCGUGCGCAGGCGGUGAUGUAAGACAGAUGUGAAAUCCCCGGGCUCAACCUGGGAACUGCAUUUGUGACUGCAUCGCUGGAGUGCGGCAGAGGGGGAUGGAAUUCCGCGUGUAGCAGUGAAAAUGCGUAGAUAUGCGGAGGAACACCGAUGGCGAAGGCAAUCCC
rnacentral:rRNA from 1 species